GCUGGCUUUUUUUCUAAUUUAAUUCCAGCUUCUAGAUACAUAUCCUGUGCAGGAGCCUUGCUACUGAUCCUUAUAUUGCUGUUUCUCACCUCUGUCCUGGAUGGGCUUGGAGCCAGAAACCUUACAUUUUUGGAGAGGAUCCUUUGCUCCUGGCCCAUCCCUGCUUGUGGUGCUCCUCUGCUUCUGCUGCUAUCUGUAGUAUUCCUUCCCAGAAUGAAACGCCCAGUUGAAGCUGAUGCUGCUGACAGUGGAAACCUUUUCUGGUCUAAGAAUGGUAAGCAGAAAUAACUAGCAUUUUUCCAACUCAGCACAUCUUACUUCAUCUCACUGAUGUCCCAAAUCAGCUGAGAUGGACCACAUGAACUUCAGCAAGAAGUGUGAAGUCCUGAACCUGUGACAGAACAAUUGCAUGCACCAGAAUGUGCUGAAGCCACCCAUCUGGAAAGCAGCUGACAGAAGCCACUGGGAGUCGUCAUCUUUGUGAGGUUAGCUACAGUAAGCUGUAUCAGUAAUGACAGUUUCACUUCAAUUGGCUGCUAGGAAAACCUUUUAUUUAAUAAAAAAUCAGCUGGGAGUCUUUAAUCUCAAAGUUAAA